rnacentral:rRNA from 1 species
GAGACAGCAGCCGCCGCGGUAAAACGAGGGGGGCAAGCGUUGUUCGGAAUUAUUGGGCGUAAAGGGUGCGUAGGCGGCUUGACAAGUCUUGUGUGAAAUCUAUGGGCUCAACCCAUAGUCUGCACGGGAAACUGUCGGGCUUGAGAAUGGGAGAGGUGAGUGGAAUUUCCGGUGUAGCGGUGAAAUGCGUAGAUAUCGGAAGGAACACCUGUGGCGAAAGCGGCUCACUGGACCAUUUCUGACGCUGAUGCACGAAAGCUAGGGGAGCAAACAGGAUUAGAUACCCCUGUAGUCCCUGUCUCUUAUAA